CCUACGGGAGGCAGCAGUGAGGAAUAUUGGUCAAUGGACGCAACUCUGAUCCAGCCAUGCCGCGUGCAGGAAGACGGCUCUAUGAGUUGUAAACUGCUUUUGUACGAGGGUAAACGCAGAUACGCGUAUCUGACUGAAAGUAUCGUACGAAUAAGGAUCGGCCAACUCCGUGCCAGCAGCCGCGGUAAUACGGAGGAUUCAAGCGUUAUCCGGAUUUAUUGGGUUUAAAGGGUGCGUAGGCGGUCGGAUAAGUUAGAGGUGAAAUCCCGAGGCUCAACUUCGGAAUUGACUCUGAUACUGUGCGGCUAGAGAGUAGGAGCGGUAGGCGGAAUGUAUGGUGUAGCGGUGAAAUGCGUAGAGAUCAGGCGGAACACCGGGGGCGAAGGCAGCUUACUAGGCUACUACUGACGUUGAGGCACGAAAGCGUGGGGAGCAAACAGGAUUAGAUACCCCUGUAGUC
rnacentral:rRNA from 1 species